rnacentral:rRNA from 1 species
AACGAACGCUGGCGGCGUGGAUAAGACAUGCAAGUCGAACGGGACAGACCGAGUAGCAAUAUUUGGAAUGUUCAGUGGCGAACGGGUGCGUAACACGUGGAUAACAUUCCGGAAAGCGGGGAAUAGCCCAGGGAAACUUGGAUUAAUACCGCAUGUGGCCGCAAGGCUAAAGACGGGGACCGCAAGGCCUGUCACUUUCCGAUUGGUCCGCGGCCUAUCAGCUAGUUGGCGGGGUAAUGGCCCACCAAGGCUACGACGGGUAGCUGGUCUUAGAGGACGACCAGACACACGGGAACUGAGACACGGUCCAGACACCUACGGGUGGCAGCAGUCGCGAAUCUUUCACAAUGGGGGCAACCCUGAUGGAGCGACGCCGCGUGGAGGAUAAGGUCUUCGGAUUGUAAACUCCUGUCAUGCGAGAACAAGGUACUCAGGCUAAUAACCUGAUUGUUUGAUGGUACCGCAAGAGGAAGAGACGGCUAACUCUGUGCCAGCCGCCGCCGUAAUAC